rnacentral:misc_RNA from 1 species
CGAUAAAUAUUUUAUACAAGAGAAAAAUAGAUAAGAUAAAGGGCACAGUAGUCAUUUUAACAUUUUAUUUUGAACUCUGUCUUGCCUAUUUUACACUAAACAUUACACUGGACAACAAUUUUCUUUGUCCCAUCUUGUCCAAAUUCAGCCAAUGGAUACAGCUUCUCCAAACCUUAACUUGUUUCUGAAACUCCCAAUUCAACAAGUUAGUAUUUUCAAUGUUUUUGCAACUGUAAAGGGGCAAUAGCAAUAUAGACUAAAAUAGCAUCACUGUAUCAUUAAACCAACUCUGAACUAAAUAAUUAAUGAAAAAAUCCUAAUUUUUAUUUUACUGGAUAGCAAAUAGCAUUAAUUAAAAUCCUAAACUUAUGCAGGAAAAAAGCCAAAAUAAAACCCUUAAAGCAUUAAGAAGCUGUUUAACAGAACAUUAGAACUUAUCAGCAAUUAAAUAAGAGCAUCUAUUACACUGGUUGUGAUGCAGCCA